rnacentral:rRNA from 1 species
CCUACGGGAGGCAGCAGUGAGGAAUAUUGGUCAAUGGACGAGAGUCUGAACCAGCCAAGUAGCGUGAAGGAUGACUGCCCUAUGGGUUGUAAACUUCUUUUAUACAGGAAUAAAACGCGUCACGUGUACCUUUUUGCAUGUACUUUAUGAAUAAGGAUCGGCUAAUUCCGUGCCAGCAGCCGCGGUAAUACGGAGGGUCCGAGCGUUAUCCGGAUUUAUUGGGUUUAAAGGGAGCGUAGAUGGGUUGUUAAGUCAGUUGUGAAAGUUUGGGGCUCAACCGGAAAAUUGCAAUGGAUACUGGCAGGCUUGAGUCCAGUGGAGGUAGGCGGAAUUCGUGGUGUAGCGGUGAAAUGCUUAGAUAUCACGAAGAACCCCGAUUGCGAAGGCAGCUUACUACAGUGUGACUGACGCUGAUGCUCGAAAGUGUGGGUAUCAAACAGGAUUAGAUACCCUAGUAGUC